AGCGUACUCAUGUCAGGCAGUGAAGGAUGGUGGCGCUCCUCUGCAACAGCAGCGAAACGGAACAAUAAAUAAAACAAAACAAAAUCACAACCGAAAGACAAAGAGGCGAAAUCAACCGAGGAAAGAAGAAAGAAAGGAAAGACACCCAGGGGUGACGGGGUGGGUGAGGAGGGUCCGGAGACGCGGAGCUGGAGGAACACACAGAGAAAGAGACGUUUUUUCCUGCUCGUUCUCUCGGUGAAGAUGCUGCAGUCUUGCGUUCAGAGCAUCCCUUCUCUGACUGGCUGCUGGAGGGAGCGCAGGGGAGCGGCUGACGUCACAGGGCCUCGCGGUGCCUUCAUGGGCUUCCCGUAAACUCGGAUUUUCAAUACUCUUAAGUAAAAGUGCAAUUUUCGGUGUGUUUUAGUGCCUUUUGUCCAAAAUAAAGUCAAGAAUUGUUA